rnacentral:rRNA from 1 species
UUAUUAAUAUUAAUAUAGUAUUAAAAAUAAUUAUAUAGUUUAAUAGUUUUAGUAUUUUAUAAAGAAAAAAUAAUUUUAAUAAUAGUUUAUUAGUAUUGUGAAAUAAAAUUGAAAUAUAAUGAAAAAUUUUUAUGUUAAAAGAAAAUUUAAUUUAUUGUAUCUUGUGUAUCAGAGUAUAUUAAAUAAAUAAUAUUAAUUAAUAUUUUUCUCGAUUUUAAAAGAUUUAAUAAAUUAUAAAUGUUAAUGUGACAAAAUUAUAUUUAAUAAUUUAUUUGAAAUGAAAUGUUAUUCGUUUUUAAAGGUAUCUAGUUUUUUAAGAAAUAAAUUUAAUUUAGUUUUUAAAAUUUAUUUAUUUAUUUAUUUUAAAUAAAUAAUUUUUAAAAUGCAAUAUUUUAUGGGAUAAGCUAUAAAAUAAAUUUUUAUAAAUAAUGAAUAAUAUUUAAAAUUUUAUAUGUUUAAAAGUAUCAAUUUUUAUUAAGUUUGUUAUAAAUUAAUUUUUUUAAUAAAUUAUUUAUUAUAUUUUAAUUUUUUAUUAAAAUAUUUAUUUUAAUAUUAAAAAUAAAGUAAUAAUGAUAUAAUUAGUAUAUUUUUUUUUAAUUAUAUAUUUUUAAAUGAAAAGUUUGUGUAAAGAACUCGGCAAAAAUAAUGCUCGCCUGUUUAACAAAAACAUGUCUUUUAGAAAUUAAUUUAAAGUCUAACCUGCCCACUGAAUUUUUAAAUGGCCGCAGUAUACUAACUGUGCAAAGGUAGCAUAAUCAUUAGUCUUUUAAUUGAAGGCUGGAAUGAAUGGUUGGACGAAGUAUUAACUGUUUCAUUAAAAUUUUUAAUAGAAUUUUAUUUUUUAGUCAAAAAGCUAAAAUAAAUUUAAAAGACGAGAAGACCCUAUGAAUCUUUAUAUAUUGUAAAUUUUAAUUUUGUAGAUUUUUUUAAUUAUAAUUUUAUUAAUAUAUUUUAUUGGGGUGAUAUUAAAAUUUAAAAAACUUUUAAAAUUUAAAUCAUUGAUUUAUGAAUAAAUGAUCCAUUUUUAGUGAUUAAAAAUUUAAGUUACUCUAGGGAUAACAGCGUAAUUUUUUUGGAGAGUUCAUAUCGAUAAAAAAGAUUGCGACCUCGAUGUUGGAUUAAGAUAUAAUUUUAGGUGUAGCCGUUUAAAUUUUAAGUCUGUUCGACUUUUGAAAUCUUACAUGAUCUGAGUUCAAACCGGCGUAAGCCAGGUUGGUUUCUAUCUUUAAUAAUUUAAUAUAUUUUAGUACGAAAGGAUUAAAUAUAUAAAUAAUAAUAUUUUAUAAAUUAGAAUUUAAGUAAGUAUUUAUAA